rnacentral:rRNA from 1 species
UACGUAGGGUGCGAGCGUUGUCCGGAUUUAUUGGGCGUAAAGAGCUCGUAGGCGGUUUGUCGCGUCGGCCGUGAAAUCUCCACGCUUAACGUGGAGCGUGCGGUCGAUACGGGCAGACUUGAGUUCGGUAGGGGAGACUGGAAUUCCUGGUGUAGCGGUGAAAUGCGCAGAUAUCAGGAGGAACACCGGUAGCGAAGGCGGCACUCUGGGCCGGUACUGACGCUGAGGAGCGAAAGCGUGGGGAGCAAACAGG